UACGUAGGGUGCGAGCGUUGUCCGGAAUUAUUGGGCGUAAAGAGCUCGUGGGCGGUGUGUCGCGUCGGCCGUGAAAACCUGCAGCUUAACUGUGGGCGUGCGGUCGAUACGGGCAUCACUGGAGUUCGGCAGGGGAGACUGGAAUUCCUGGUGUAGCGGUGAAAUGCGCAGAUAUCAGGAGGAACACCGGUGGCGAAGGCGGGUCUCUGGGCCGAUACUGACGCUGAGGAGCGAAAGCGUGGGGAGCGAACAGG
rnacentral:rRNA from 1 species